rnacentral:rRNA from 1 species
CCCUUAGAUGUUCUGGGCCGCACGCGCGCUACACUGAUGCAUUCAACGAGUCUAAAACCUGCUCUGAUAGGGGUGGGUAAUCUUUUGAAUGUGCAUCGUGAUUGGGAUAGAUGUUUGCAAUUUUUCAUCUUCAACGAGGAAUGCCUAGUAAACGCAAGUCAUCAGCUUGCAUUGAUUACGUCCCUGCCCUUUGUACACACCGCCCGUCGCUCCUACCGAUUGAAUGAUCCGAUGAAUAUCAUGGAUUGAGGAUGCAAGUAGGUUCGCCUAUCUUCAUCUUCGAGAAGUGAAGUAAAUCUUAUCAUUUAGAGGAAGGAGAAGUCGUAACA